AGCAGCCGCGGUAAUUCCAGCUCCAAUAGCGUAUAUUAAAGUUGUUGCAGUUAAAAAGCUCGUAGUUGAAUUUCGGGAUCAAUAUAACGGCCAUGCCGUUGGUAUGCACUGUUAUAAUUGGUUUCUCACCUUCUAAAGAACCGUAAUGCCAUUAAUUUGGUGUCACGGGGAAUUAGGACUGUUACCUUGAAAAAAU
rnacentral:rRNA from 1 species